AUACUUACCUGGCAGGGGAGAUACCAUGAUCACGAAGGUGGUUUCCCCAGGGCGAGGCUUAUCCAUUGCACUCCGGAUGUGCUGACCCCUGCGAUUUCCCCAAAUGUGGGAAACUCAACUGCAUAAUUUGUGGUAGUGGAGGACUGCAUUUUUGUUCUCCCCUA
ensembl:snRNA U1 U1 spliceosomal RNA